AUUAAUAAAAAUCUCAAAUCCUGGUAACGACAUAACAGAGAUUUAUGGGUUUUUCACCCACCAAAAGUUUCCAUUGCUGUAAGACUUAUUAGGUAACGUCCACAUAUUACGUCAUCAUUUUAGUGGGUGGUUGGUUUAGGGCUUCUUAUGUUUCCCAUGAAAAUUAAAAUUCCAUACCCCUUAAUGUUUACGUUGGGUGGGUGCUAAAAUCGGGAAUUUUUGAUGAUGUAAUGUAUGAAUAAGCCUAUAUUUAACCCAGCUUAUUUACAUAUAACGAGUGUCUUAUUCCUUACCAGCUGCAAAUAAACGAUGUCACAAAUGUUCGAGGGUCUUUGAACCUAAUCCUAAAUUUGUAUGUUCACAUGUUCUGAUUAAUACUGGAAUACCCCUACCUCCGGUCAAAUCAAUCACACCAUUUUUGCACAGUCCCUUAAAACGUGCACAGAAUAAGGAAUUCGGUCACCUUGAAGGUGGAAAAAUGUAUCCAUUCCACAUUGCACAGACAGUUUGGUUGGUUGUGCGUUAAGCAGGUCUAAAAGCAAUCAUAUUAAUUACUCCUCAUCCAAUAUUCAUCACAAGUGGCGCAUAAAUUUUCCUAAAACUAAUCACAUCCUUAAUUUGCGGUCCUGCUUGAAUGAACAAGAUGAUUAUGUUUAUCAUACACCUGACGAAAUAUCCUUUGGCACACUGUAUCUUCAUUGAGUACACAUUUCACUCAACAGGUUAUUGCUUGUAAGAAUAUAUUUUCGCAAUCGAUAAAAGUCUUCAAAAUGUGAUCCCGUUAUUAAUUUCGCUGUGGUAAAUUUUACCAAUUUAAAGCGAAUUUGGAAAUUAACCUUGUUUCUAGUCAGGGUAACAAAAUUCGGAUAAGAUUUUGUGCAAAGCAAAGUGCACCCAGUUCUUCCAUUUCUAAGGUGAUUUAAUUGCUUAAUUAAUUCGCUCAAGUGAAAAUUUGCAGUCUUUAAGAGGGUUUAAGUUUUCUUAAUUAACUUAUGUAAAUUACAUGGCUGAAAUUGCAACAGUGCUCAUUUUCAUACUUUAAGGAAUAUGUAUGUACAAAAACCUGAUUUAAAAACCUUACCAGGGAUGUGACACGUACACACGCCAACAUUAAAAGCCUUCACGGAAACUAUUUUCCUCUGAUACAAUAUUUCCAUCAGAAUUAAUUCAGUCCAUCAAAUUUUCAUCACCAUUUCUGACAUUUUUAGUCUGAGGGGCGUCCCAACCAUACAAACGUAAUGCGUGGCUGCUGUCUAAUGGAAAAAUGGAUACGAUGAAAUGAGUGAUCUUCCGGUUCCAGUUAAUUACAUAGUUAAGCUGUAUUACUUUAAGAAUAUUUCGUUUUAAUUUGUAUAACUAUAGGUAAAUAUGUAACGUAACUAACAAUGGAGGUCUCUCAGCGUAUGUUCACGCGAUUUUUUAUCCAAACUAAUGUCAAUCGAUCAUAAAAAUAAUUAAUACAUGUGAAAUUUACAAAACCCACAAUUUGUAAUUGCACCGAUUUGGCAAAGAUAUUUGUUAAACUAAAAAGAUGACAAAGUCUGCCCUAAAAUUGUAAAAAUCUUACACUUUCCAAAUUUACUGUUCGCUUUUUCGGACGCAAUUACUUAUGUAUGUAUCCCCUCUGUAACCUGCGCAUUGGCAGAUACCUUUCGACAUUUCAAACUAAUUAAAUUUAUAAUCCGUUGAUACUAGUUUUGCUAAAAUCUGUGAGAACACGUUGUGAGACCUUAUUUAAUUGUGACUAAUACGGUAAAAUAUGUUUGGCCUUAUUGAUACAUAAUAUAUCUAUUUUAAUCUAGAUAUAAAUCGUCAUCUCAUCGUUUUGAAAAGUAUACAUAUGUACCCCAAAUUUUAUAUUAGCAAAACUCUACUAAAUUUAGAUUAACCUGCUAAUUUCACUUGGUUAAUUAAUCUCUCUCAGCCAAUGUUGCUGAUUGUGCUAGCUAAUGGCGUUGUUAUAUUUCUAGUUAUGGUAGAAGCUCCACUCUCAAAAAUCUACAUAUACAUAAUUGAACAAGCUGAGAAUUGUUAUUUUACGUACAUACAAAUUCGAAUGGUUACGCUAAUUUUCACGCAUAAGCCGUAAACCCUUCAGGUAUAAAGGGUCCUGCAGGGAGGAUUGUGGGCAUCGGUUCAUGAAAUGUAGUUGUUUUUUUUCCUAAAAAAAUUCAAUAAUUUUUCCUUUUAUUAAGGUUAGAUUAUUUUGCCUUUUUUUGUGGAACUUUAUGCAUGGUGAAUAAUUAUUCUACUCUGAGUCUGAUGUAUAUGAAAUGCUCCAUUUUCAUUCCUGUUUAUGAUAAAUUAACCUGGUCGGUCGUAAUGUCGAAUAGAAAAAUAUAGGCCUCAUAAUUUGUAUCCCAUUUUAAGAUCAUCCUGGUGCACUGAAUCGUAAAGCAGGGGGAAUUUUACGCUAGUCUUUUUAGUUCCGUGUGGAAUUUUCAAAUAGCUCCAAAAUUGUGCCCGGAAGGAAGUUUUGCGAGUCUAUGAAUUUGACCUUCGUCUCCAGAAUGGUCAAGAUCAGUCCCAUAGUUUUUUUGAUUGGCCCGACAAUCUUUAAUUUUCCAAUAUUGUCCCCCUCUAGACCAGAACGGACGACUUGGUGAUCCCACUUACAUAGGUGUUGGCAGAAUCAAGUCUUCCAUUCACUAAAAUUGUGGGUUUAAAGAGGCUUCAAAAUCUGACAGAAAUCACAUCUUUAGGUCAUUAUGAAGCACAUACAAGAGACAUUUUCUUUCAUUUCUAUGCUGCUGUAACAUUGUUGUAUGAUGUUCACAAACAUAAAAAUAAGAGAUAGGAGCAGCUAGUGUUCUGUUCCCCCGUAAGAGUGGAUUUUUCAAAGUUUACAGGGAGUUAAGUUCAGAGAUAUCGUCUACCAUAUUUGUUUAGCUAGAAUAUUUCCAUGAGUCGAAUGGGUGGGUACUUCCAAUCAACUGACUUGGCAGAACAAAUGCAACAAUGUGAGACCAAGCAGGUUUUCCUGGUGAAUAGACAUCCCUAGUGGCUCGGUAAUUGUGUAGAUCGUCAUGAUUUCAUCCAUUAAAUGUUUCAUGUACUCCAGGAAUUUGUCAACACAAUCAGAACCACGGUAAGCCUUUGGCUGUCCAUUCAGUUUACUAUAUUCGUCAAUAACUAUAUAUGUAUGAAACCCAGUGUUUUUACCAAAUACAUUUUUUGAAUCAACUUUUGCUGUAAAUACAGAUAAUAUCGUGUGUGUAAUCAGAUUACUUCCGGGAAUGUUUUCUAUAUUAAAUCUUGUUUUUUUUAAAUUGCGAUUUUGAUGCAUGUAUAAUCAGAAUAUACAAUUAUGGACCACAGUUCAUGUGAGUGGAAUAGUUAGUUAGUACUUUUACAUAAAAUAUACUUCAGUAGUAAAUAAUUCUAAUUAAGCAUAAUGUUAUACUUUUAGUUUCAUGCUCAUAAUAAAACAUAUACAUAAAUGCAAAUGUAUACAUUUAUGCAGAUAUUAUGUAAAAGGAUAACAUUAUUUUUCAGUGAAUGUACUCCUGUCAUUUCCGCUAUAAACCCUCAACCUCACCACUGCAAUUCUGUAAGAAAUGAGAGUGAUGACGUCGAGGGCUUUAUAGUCGAAAAAACAGGAAUACAUUCACUGAAAAAUGAUGUUACCCUUUUAAGUAAUAUUUUAAUGCGAUGUUAAUUUUGUAUGAAAUAAGCUCUACUAAAUCAAAGACAAAUUUUCUCUUUAUCAAGCCUUGCUCUGGGUUUAGUAUGUACUCUUUUCUUAAUUUAGAGUUCAGGGAGAAUUUACUCUAUCAAAUGGGCAAUGUAGUUGUUCAAAAAUUGUGGUUUUAUUGGCAAUAAUUGCAUGUACAUAGUUACAGCACUUGUAUGUAAUACGUUCUAAAUGUGUCGUAAAAUUAGUGAAAAUUGAUUAAAACAUGUGCAAAUAAAAAUUAAUGUACUUUUCGAAAGCGUG